rnacentral:rRNA from 1 species
AUGUACUACGUCGCUGCUACCUCUCCCAAGUGCAUAUAUAGCGCAUCCGAAGCACGAACGCUCGAAGCAGUGCGACAGCGUACGCACCCCACACCAAAGCCGGCCAUGGUGACCUUCACGGCGCGCCGGAGCGAGCCGGAGCUGCUGCCCCCGGCACGGGCGACUGCGCGGGAGACCAAGGCCCUGUCGGACCUCGACGACCAGCGCACGCUGCGCUACUACGAGACGGUGAUCGGCUUCUUCCGCAGCAACGACCUCGCCGGCAGGCCGGACGACCCGGUUAAGGCCAUCCGGGCGGCGUUGAGGGAGGCGCUGGUGUACUACUACCCGAUCGCCGGCCGGCUCAGGGAGGACGGCGCAGGGAGGCUGGUCGUGGACUGCACGGCCGAGGGGGUGGUGUUCGUGGAGGCCUACGUGGACGCGCGCCUGGAGGAGUUCGGCGAGCCGCUGCUGCCGCCGUACCCUUGCGUGGAGGAAUUACUGUGCCAUGUCGGCGACACCAGGGCCGUCGUUGGCAAGCCUUUGCUCUUCAUGCAGGUGACACGACUCAAAUGCGGAGGGUUCGUCCUGGGUUUUCACAUUUGCCAUAACCUCGCCGACGGUUUCGGCAUGGCUCAGUUCAUCAAAGCUGUGUCCGACAUAGCACGUGGAGAAGCGGCCCCGACCAUUUUACCCGUGUGGGAAAGGGAGCUGCUAACAUCACGCGGCUUAUUACCUCCAGUCAACCGACUCUACCCAGUGCACCAACCACCAGUGAACGGCUCAGGGAGCGCAGCUCGCGACAUGAUGCUCUCGGUUCCGCCGGAGAGCAUGGUCGCCAAGUACUUCCUCUUCGGGCCAAGGGAGGUAUCAGCCCUACGAGACCGCAUACCGGCGGGCCAUCCCGCCCGCUCCGCCACGAUCUUCGAGCUGGUGACCGCCGUGAUGUGGCGGUGCCGCACGGUCGCCCUCGGGUACGAGCCCGGCCAGCGGGUGCGCCUCAUGACCACCAUGAACGCCCGCGGGAGGUGGAACAACCACACCCCCAUCCCGUGGGGGUACUACGGCAACGCGCACGUCUCCCCCAUAGCGGAGGUCGUCGUCGGCGAGCUCCGCGGGCAGCCGCUCGCCGACACGGUGGAACUCGUGCGCGAGACCAAGCGCGGCAUGACCAAGGAGCGCAUGGAGUCGAUGGUGGAGGCGGUGGCGUUGCUGCGGGAGUGGCCGCCUUCCACCAUGGACAGGAUAUACGAGGUAUCGGAUGUGAGAUGGAUGGCGGUGAACGUGUUGGACUUCGGGUGGGCUGACCUGGCCGGCGGUGGUAUUCCGUUGGCCGGGGAUCUCACUUCCAAGCUAGGGAGCGAUCACAUGUGGUGCAGGAAUGAGAACGGCGAGGUCUCGACCGUGGUGUCAAUGCUGCUGCCGAGGGCGGCCAUGGACAGGUUUACGGAGGAGAUCGCGGUAUGGCUGAGCCACAAAGAUGACGAGAAGAAUUUAGCAAUCAUGAGCUCACUCUAG